UUUUAAACCCAGCCUCAGAAGAUGAAGACAAGGACCUCCAGAGCACCACGGCAGGAGACUAUCCAUAUCAGUUAGCUCUGGGUUUUGGCUGAGAGACCCUGCCUCGUGAAUAAGCCUCUUCUGGGCUGUGGCAGCAGAGCUGACCAGUGGGACAGCGUCUACACAGUCUACAACACCCGCUAUCCGGCUAACUGAUCUGGACAAGAAGGACUAGAGAAGCUUUCUGAACCUGUCAGCUCUUGUGCCCUGGAGAUGAAGCAAAAGAGAAGAAUGGGUCAGAACCAGGAACAACAUCCUCUGGUAAAUGGACGCAGGGUCUACUUGAAGCUGCUGUCCUGGCCAUCUGGACGUCUUGCAUCAGCCCACUCAGAUACUCAGGAUGCUGACUUGCUGAGACCUUGAAUGGCCUUCCCUCUGUUGUCUGCCUCUGUCCUCCCCACCUGGGACAUAUAAAUAGAUUCUAGCUGUACUUAUUUUUCCUCCCAAA
rnacentral:lncRNA from 1 species